AAGACAUAAAAUUACAUCAUAUAAUAUAUAAUGGCACUCGCCGCAAACCAGCAGUGAUUCUUCUUCUCUCAAUUUCCUUUUAUUUCAGUUUGUACAGGAAAAUUGCCGAUGAUUACCUCCCUCCCCUUCGUCACAGAGAUGGUGAAUAUUUCUGCAGUAGAGUUCAGGCGUCAGCGAGUACAGACAGUGUCGGCAUUGGACUCCCUGAUACGAACGACUCGAAGAGCACGAGAGCCUGUUUCGGUCGGUGCAGCGAAACCUCGUGACCAGCUCCCCUUACAGUCACAAAUGUGAGCCCUUUGUAUACUUGGGUCCAUCCUCCAACCUGGCCAUCAUCAUACCAGGCGUGCCAAGGGACCACAGUUGGAAGCUUAAGAGAAUCAAUGCUAUAACGUGUCGAUGUAACUGGAAUUACAGAAUCUGUAUCUCCACUGAACAUCCAAAUACGAAGCCCAUGUCCUAUAAGCUCGCGAUAUAUAGGUAGCACUGAACUUGGAGCAUCCUUCCAA
rnacentral:misc_RNA from 1 species